CCUACGGGGGGCAGCAGUGAGGAAUAUUGGUCAAUGGCCGGAAGGCUGAACCAGCCAUGCCGCGUGAAGGUCAGUGCCCUAUGGGCGUUAAACUUCUUUUGUGCGGGAGCAAUAAUGGUCACGUGUGGCCAGACGAGAGUACCGUACGAAUAAGCAUCGGCUAACUCCGUUCCAGCAGCCGCGGUAAUACGGGGGAUGCAAGGGUUAUCCGGAUUUAUUGGGUUUAAAGGGUGCGUAGCCUGGGAGGUAAGUCAGCGGUGAAAUGCCCCCGCUCAACGGGGGGAAGUGCCAUUGAUACUGACGUGCUGGAAUGCGGAUGCCGUGGGAGGAAUGUGUGGUGUAGCGGUGAAAUGCAUAGAUAUCACACAGAACACCGAUUGCGAAGGCAUCUCACGAAUCCGCGAUUGACGCUGAUGCACGAAAGCGUGGGUAUCAAACAGGAUUAGAUACCCGGGUAGUC
rnacentral:rRNA from 1 species